rnacentral:rRNA from 1 species
AUUGAACGCUGGCGGCAUGCUUUACACAUGCAAGUCGAGCGGCAGCGCGGGGGCAACCCUGGCGGCGAGCGGCGAACGGGUGAGUAAUGCAUCGGAACGUACCCUGGAGUGGGGGGAUAACGCCGCGAAAGCGGCGCUAAUACCGCAUAUGCUCUGAGGAGGAAAGUGGGGGGACCGCAAGGCCUCACGCUCUGGGAGCGGCCGAUGUCCGAUUAGCUAGUUGGUGGGUAAAGGCUUACCAAGGCGACGAUCGGUAGCUGGUCUGAGAGGAUGAUCAGCCACACUGGGACUGAGACACGGCCCAGACUCCUACGGGAGGCAGCAGUGGGGAAUUUUGGGACAAUGGGGGCAACCCUGAUCCAGCCAUGCCGCGUGAGUGAAGAAGGCCU